rnacentral:rRNA from 1 species
CGUAGGUGACCUGCGGAAGGAUCAUUACCGAGUGAGGGCCCUCUGGGUCCAACCUCCCACCCGUGUUUAUUUUACCUUGUUGCUUCGGCGGGCCCGCCUUAACUGGCCGCCGGGGGGCUCACGCCCCCGGGCCCGCGCCCGCCGAAGACACCCUCGAACUCUGUCUGAAGAUUGAAGUCUGAGUGAAAAUAUAAAUUAUUUAAAACUUUCAACAACGGAUCUCUUGGUUCCGGCAUCGAUGAAGAACGCAGCGAAAUGCGAUACGUAAUGUGAAUUGCAAAUUCAGUGAAUCAUCGAGUCUUUGAACGCACAUUGCGCCCCCUGGUAUUCCGGGGGGCAUGCCUGUCCGAGCGUCAUUGCUGCCCUCAAGCCCGGCUUGUGUGUUGGGCCCCGUCCUCCGAUCUCCGGGGGACGGGCCCGAAAGGCAGCGGCGGCACCGCGUCCGGUCCUCGAGCGUAUGGGGCUUUGUCACCCGCUCUGUAGGCCCGGCCGGCGCUUGCCGAUCAACCCAAAUUUUUAUCCAGGUUGACCUCGGAUCAGGUAGGGAUACCCGCUGAACUUAAGCAUAUCAUA